CUAAAAUUUUAAAAUAAUAAAAACAACUGAACCUGAAACUGUGAAACGUCUGCCCCCUCUCACCAUCUCACUGCUUUCCCUCACUCAAACUACUCUCUCAUCGCCUUAUUUUCUCUGAAUUCUGAGAACUACGCACCAAUCAUUCCAUCUUCAUCGCUCGAAUUUCUUCUCACUUUUCAUCUCAGUCUGAUUUGCGAUCUGAAUCCUUUUCUCUUCCAACCUAGCUUAUUUUUUUCGUAAUUUUAUAACUGCAAGUUCAGAAAUUAGAGUUUACCUAAUUUUGAUUCAGAAACAAAGGUUCAGAAGAGAAGACAUAGCUGAUGUCUAGAUCUGGUAGCAACGCCCAAACCUCUGAGAUCGAGAAAAAUCGCCUCUUCGCGAACGAAGAUGUCGCUAUAACACUGCACCGCCGCCGGUCUUGCGCGUAGACGGACAAGAUCGUCACCGCCGAGCAGCUAAGUGAAACAAUUAUGAUUGAACUUUUGCAUUUGUGUCUUUAUGCAUCCGACCUGUUCGACGAAAUGCUUCAUCCAUCUAAGGAAAUCAAGCACUUUUGUGGAUCUUCAUGGCUGGUCAAUUUCUAGGGUUCUUCAUCAUCAAUGUGCCUAUAUCAUUGGUUACAUUGCUUUGCUACUAUGACUCAUCUAUGCACUUGUCACCAUGUGUUAUGGAGAGAUGUUUGACUUCAUGGAAAAGCAAGUUGAAGAUGGAAAUUAAAGAAAAUCAAGCAAGGCGUUAACACUUUAGUUUAGAGAAUUAUUACUUUUUCGUCCUAAUUACACUUUGUAAUUCUGUCAAUUUAUCUUAAUCAGCUACUUGUACUAAUUAAAAAAAAAGAAGAAGAAAAAAGAAGGCAUAGAGUACAAAAGGAGUUCCAUUUUGAAUUUGCCCAUUGUUAGUUAGGAAUAUCUUUAAGAAAGUUACUUAAAUUUCCUGUUGUUUGCUAUUGCCAUAUAUUUGUCUUAUACAAAGGAUUGCACCUCCAUUUUCUAUGUGUAUUGGAAUUUCUGUCAUGUCUUUAUAUCUUUGAAGCUUGCCACUAUCUCCUUUUAACUACAAAUACUAAAAGAAACUAUAGUCUGUGAAUUAUUUUAUUAGAUUAAUUGCCUUUCAUUUUUUUAUUGGAGUAGAAGUGCAUGAUUGAUUAAUUGUUAACUCCUGAACAGAGUAGGGUACUCAUCAUCGACUGGGAAAGAUUGGGGAUGGAAUUCAUAUUUAGAAGAGAUUGUCUAAUCUCUUACCAUUUGCCCGUAGGAGUUAAGGCUGUGACAUCCUUUUCUUCAAAUUCCAGCUUUCUCACAAGCUGAUAUUGUCCCUCAAGCGGGCUUCACUUGGUCCAAUAAUAAUGGUGAAAAUACUGGCAUCGAAUUAGCUUUCAUGGCCGCAGCCAAGGGUUACAAGGUCAAAAUUACAAUGCCUGCUUCGAUGAGUCUCGAAAAAAGAAUCACUCUGUUGGCUUUUGGGGCUGAGUUGGUUCUGACUGACCUUGCAAAGGGAAUGAAAGGAGCCCUUCAGAAGGCUGAAGAGAUUGUGGCUAAGACUCCCAAUUCCUACAUGCCCCAGCAAUUUGUGUAUAUAAUGUAGAUUUACUUUUAAGUCCUUUCUUUUCCUUGUAGUAUUUGUGUUGUUUAAAUUUGUAUUAUGUUUUAUUACUUUUCAAGAGAAAUUUUUGUUUAAAUAUUUUGAAUUUAAUAAAAUAUUCCAUUUUGUAGUAA